AGUGAACGCUGGCGGUAGGCCUAACACAUGCGAGUCGAACGGCAGCACAGUAAGAGCUUGCUCUUACGGGUGGCGAGUGGCGGACGGGUGAGGAAUACAUCGGAAUCUACUUUUUCGUGGGGGAUAACGUAGGGAAACUUACGCUAAUACCGCAUACGACCUACGGGUGAAAGCAGGGGAUCUUCGGACCUUGCGCGAUUGAAUGAGCCGAUGUCGGAUUAGCUAGUUGGCGGGGUAAAGGCCCACCAAGGCGACGAUCCGUAGCUGGUCUGAGAGGAUGAUCAGGCACACUGGAACUGAGACACGGUACAGACUCCUACGGGAGGCAGCAGUGGGGAAUAUUGGACAAUGGGCGCAAGCCUGAUCCAGCCAUACCGCGUGGGUGAAGAAGGCCUUCGGGUUGUAAAGCCCUUUUGUUGGGAAAGAAAAGCAGCAGGUUAAUACCCCGCUGUUCUGACGGUACCCAAAGAAUAAGCACCGGCUAACUUCGUG
rnacentral:rRNA from 1 species